GAAGUUUGGGACUUGAUUUGUGGGGCCCUGGGGAGUAAUUGAGGGUUGUUGAGCAGCAUAUGAUCCAGGGGACAAUGGAGGUCAAGAGAUGAUGGCAGAAGAUGUUACCCCCUUGCUUUGUCCUGAUGAAGAAAGCAAGGGAGGCUGCUUACUGGCCUCGGGGGAAAGAGCGGAUUCUGGAAAACACCCUGUAGCAGCUUCUGUUCUCUGUCUCCACAACUCCUCUCCUUUGGGUCCAGCACAGCCAUUCCAGAAUCCUGGAGAGGUUGGCACAGUCCUUUGGCCCACAGGACUUUCUCCCUGGGGAUUUUGAACAGGUCUUCAGAGAGUCCGCUAUGUCUCAUCCCCCAGGAAUUCUAGAAGAUUCCACUCAAGGCAGAGGCUGAAGGAAUUUGUGCAGAUGACAAAAUAGCUGAGAGCUGAGCCCGGUUCACAGAAGGCAGAAGCAUUCGUGCCCACCUGGAGAAGACGGCACCAGCCGACCAAGGCGGGGGCUUUCCAGAGAUGAUUUCCUUCCCUGGACCCAAGAGAUGGGCCAGCGGUGAGAGGCUGAAUGGACGGCAGACUUCCAGAAGUGCAGACAGAGGAGACGGAGCAGUAAUAAUGACUUGGACACAUGGGAGGAAAAAAUAGCUCAGGGACGAAGAUGACGCCAAGGUUUCUGGCCUUGGGAGGCUCCUGGGGCUCUGAGGUGAGCAUUGAGGGACGAAGACGGCAGCUCCUGAAGGAAUGGGGAAGGUAGUGGGAAGUGGAAGGGG